rnacentral:snRNA from 1 species
UUACUUACCUGGACGGGGUCGAUGGCUGAUCAAGAAGGGCCGUGGCCUAGAUCAAUGGCUCGCAUUGCACUUGGCGAGCACGUUGGCCUACCAUCUCCUCUUGUUGGGAGAGUGGACGUCAUAAUUUGUGACAGAGGGGGUACGCGUUCGCGCGGCCUCUGC